rnacentral:lncRNA from 1 species
UUACUGUAAAACUUGAUGAUCUUUGUUUGAAAUGAAUUGAAAGUGCUAAACUUUCUUCCUUCUCCUUUCCUUUCUUGAUUUCGGUUUUUUGCUCUCUUUUUAAGUGUAUAAAUGUUUUGUAAAAUGAAAGAGAUCUCUCUAUGGCAAUGGAUAUGGAUGUAUUUAUACUCAUAUAAAGAUAAGGAUAAAACUUGAUAUUUUUAUUUUUUUAUUACUUGGUUUGGCCG